rnacentral:lncRNA from 1 species
GGCCUUUGGAGUCAGCUGCCUUUUCGGAGGCAUAAUUUCAGUUAUACAUUUGGACGUGAGAGUAGUUGUUUCAAAACUAAUUCUGGGUGCUAUGAGUUUUUUACUAUGAGUUCUAGAUAAUCUGGUCGUAUAAAGGUCAAAAGUUGGCUUGAAGUUUCAAAACAGAGAUUCUUGAGUUUUAGUCAAUUUAGUAAGAGCCAUAUUGUGGUUUUUUUCGGUUCAGU